GACUCAACACGGGAAAUCUCACCAGGCCCGGACACCGGAAGAUUGACAGAUUAAUAGCUCUUUCUUGAUUCGGUGGGUGGUGGUGCAUGGCCGUUCUUAGUUGGUGGAGCGAUUUGUCUGGUUAAUUCCGGUAACGAACGAGACUCUAGCCUGCUAAAUAGGCGUAGUCAUUUUGGUGUGCGUGGCAUCCGCCGCGCGACUCACUGGCUGCGUAUUAAAAUUCUUCUUAGAGGGACCGCGUGCUUAGAGCCACGAGAUUGAGCAAUAACAGGUCUGUGAUGCCCUUAGAUGUCCUGGGCCGCACGCGCGCUACACUGAAGGAAUCAGCAUGUUCUCCCUGGCCUAGAGGCCCGGCAACCCGCUGAAACUCCUUCGUGCUGGGGAUUGGGGUUUGCAAUUAUCCCCCAUAAACGAGGAAUUCCUAGUAAGSCGAGUCAUAAGCUCGCGUUGAUUACGUCCCUGCCCUUUGUACACACCGCCCGUCGCUACUACCGAUUGAAUGAUUUAGUGAGGUCUUCGGACCG
rnacentral:rRNA from 1 species